rnacentral:rRNA from 1 species
UACGAAGGGUGCAAGCGUUAUUCGGAUUUAUUGGGUGUAAAGGGUGUGUAGACGGCAUGUUAAGUCCGCUGUUAAAUUUCCCGGCCUAACUGGGAGCCAGCGGUGGAUACUGGCGUGCUAGAGGAUGGAAGAGAGAAGUGGAAUUCCCGGAGUAGCGGUAAAAUGCGUAGAUCUCGGGAGGAACACCAAUGGCGAAGGCAGCUUCUUGGUCCAUAUCUGACGUUGAGACACGAAAGCGUGGGGAGCAAACAGG